UACGGAGGGUGCAAGCGUUAUCCGGAUUUACUGGGUUUAAAGGGUGCGCAGGCGGAUAUGUAAGUCAGUGGUGAAAUCUCCGGGCUUAACCCGGAAACUGCCGUUGAUACUAUAUAUCUUGAAUGCUGUGGAGGUAAGCAGAAUAUGUCAUGUAGCGGUGAAAUGCUUAGAUAUGGCACAGAACACCGAUAGUGAAGACAGCUCACGAGGGCCAAACUGACGCUGAGGCACGAAAGCGUGGGGAUCGAACAGG
rnacentral:rRNA from 1 species